ACGCUGGCGGCAUGCCUUACACAUGCAAGUCGAACGGCAGCACGGGAGCAAUCCUGGUGGCGAGUGGCGAACGGGUGAGUAAUACAUCGGAACGUGCCCAAUCGUGGGGGAUAACGCAGCGAAAGCUGUGCUAAUACCGCAUACGAUCUACGGAUGAAAGCAGGGGACCGCAAGGCCUUGCGCGAAUGGAGCGGCCGAUGGCAGAUUAGGUAGUUGGUGGGGUAAAGGCUCACCAAGCCAACGAUCUGUAGCUGGUCUGAGAGGACGACCAGCCACACUGGGACUGAGACACGGCCCAGACUCCUACGGGAGGCAGCAGUGGGGAAUUUUGGACAAUGGGCGAAAGCCUGAUCCAGCAAUGCCGCGUGCAGGAUGAAGGCCUUCGGGUUGUAAACUGCUUUUGUACGGAACGAAAUGGUCUUUUCUAAUACAGAAGGCUAAUGACGGUACCGUAAGAAUAAGCACCGGCUAACUACGUGCCAGCAGCCGCGGUAAUACGUAGGGUGCAAGCGUUAAUCGGAAUUACUGGGCGUAAAGCGUGCGCAGGCGGUUAUGUAAGUCUGAUGUGAAAUCCCCGGGCUCAACCUGGGAAUUGCAUUGGAGACUGCAAGGCUAGAAUCUGGCAGAGGGGGGUAAAAUUCCACGUGUAGCAGUGAAAUGCGUAGAUAUGUGGAGGAACACCGAUGGCGAAGGCAGCCCCCUGGGUCAAGAUUGACGCUCAUGCACGAAAGCGUGGGGAGCAAAC
rnacentral:rRNA from 1 species